rnacentral:misc_RNA from 1 species
GCAAAGCUCGCAAAGAAGCUUGAGGCUUGUGUGGGUAGACGUCUAUAUGCUCUAUCGAAACCCCAUCAAUUGAAAAAAAAAAUCAAUCUUUUUUCACUUGACAAACUAGGGUUUUUCUAGGGUUUAUUAUAGUCGAGAACUGUUUUGCUUUAGCUUUUUUCAGUGUUACUAAAAUGGUCAGCUCAAAUGGUCUUCGUCUUGCUCACCGUCUUGCUCGCUGCACCUUUUCUUCUACUACUGGAUCUUUGUUGAAGGAGGGUUGUAGGGGAUAUAACACGGCAGUAUGCAAUCAAACAAGGGGAUUGUUUUAUUUCAAUUCAAAGAAUGGGGGCAGCGAAAGGGAUUGGUUAAGACUUGGGCAAUUCAAAUCCAAUUUUGGUGCCACAAGAUCAAUUCAUGGAACAGGCAUGAGUAUGAAAGAUUUUUAUGAGGUUCUUGGCGUCAAUCGGAAUGCAACUGCCUCCGAAAUAAAAAAGGCUUAUUAUGGGCUUGCAAAGCAACUGCAUCCAGAUAUGAACAAAGAUGACCCAGAUGCUGAAAAAAAGUUUCAAGAAGUCUCAAAGGCUUAUGAGGUUUUGAAGGAUGAUAGUACACGUGAACAAUAUGAUCAGCUUGGGCAUGAUGCAUUUAAUAAUAUGAACAGUGGUGGAGGUGGAGGUCCUGGAUUUGAUCCAUUUGGUGGUUUCAAAAGUCCAUUUGAAGACAUGUUUAAAAAUGCUGAUAUUUUUGGCAACAUCUUUAACAGAGACAUGGGUGGAGAGGAUGUCAAGGUUCCGAUUGAACUAUCCUUCAUGGAAGCU